ensembl:lncRNA
AGUGUAUGGCUGCUUCCAAUUUACUGUAUCACUGCAGGAGCAUGAAAGAAUGAAAAUAUGUCCUUUGAUAUAAACAAUGUAUCUUUACAGAUGUGGAUCAAUGAAGGAAACAAAGGUGUCAUUUUACAUCUGUGACAUCAAGAUGGCAGGUGUUUUGCCUCACUUAGUCGGUAAAGACAUUCUUUUUUUUUCUCCAACCACAGCUUUUCCAUGUCAAAGCCUACAUCCAAAGUGCAGGACUCUACACUUGCCCUUGAUGAACUUCAUCAGGUUCCUCUCUGCCCAAAUCUCCAGCUGGUCCAGGUCUCUCUGAAUGGAAGCACAGGCUUCUGGUGUGUCAGCCACUCAUUCCAGCUUUGUAUCAUCAGCAAAAUUGCUGAGGGUGUACUCUAUCCCUUCAUCCAGGUCAUAGAUGAAGAUGCUGAACAAAUUCAGGCCCAGUACCAACCCCUGGGGAGCACUGCUAGCUACUGGUCUGCAACUAGACUGCAUCACUGAUCACAACCAUCUGAGCUCUG